GCCCGGCUAGCUCAAUCGGUAGAGCGUCAGACUCUUAGUACAAGGUCUAGUGGAUGUAAACAUUCAUUCCCGAACUUCGCCAUCUGAAGGCUGCGGGUUCGAUCCCCGCGUUGGGCU